UACGAAGGGGGCUAGCGUUGCUCGGAAUUACUGGGCGUAAAGGGCGCGUAGGCGGCACUGUUAGUCAGGCGUGAAAGUCCUGGGCUCAACCUGGGAACUGCGCUUGAUACGGCAGAGCUAGAGGAUGGAAGAGGGUCGCGGAAUUCCCAGUGUAGAGGUGAAAUUCGUAGAUAUUGGGAAGAACACCGGUGGCGAAGGCGGCGACCUGGUCCAUUACUGACGCUGAGGCGCGACAGCGUGGGGAGCAAAAGGG
rnacentral:rRNA from 1 species